CCUACGGGUGGCAGCAGUGAGGAAUAUUGGUCAAUGGACGCAAGUCUGAACCAGCCAUGCCGCGUGCAGGAUGACGGCUCUAUGAGUUGUAAACUGCUUUUGUACGAGGGUAAACCCCGAUACGUGUAGCGGGGUGAAAGUAGCGUACGAAUAAGGAUCGGCUAACGCCGUGCCAGCAGCCGCGGUAAUACGGAGGAUCCGAGCGUUAUCCGGAUUUAUUGGGGUUAAAGGGUGCGUAGGCGGUUUGAUAAGUUAGAGGGGAAAGGGCGGGGCUCCACCCCGAAACUGCCUCUCAUACUGUUGGCCUAGAGCAUAGUUGCGUUAGGCGGACUGUUUGGUGUAGCGGUUAAAUGCUU
rnacentral:rRNA from 1 species